rnacentral:lncRNA from 1 species
UCCCUCCUUUUCAAGCCAAAGUAAAAACUUCCCAUCUUGUACGAACAUGUGUAGAGGUGCCGACAUACCCUCUGGAAUCUCAACGGAUUGAACAAUGCAUCUUUUGCUUGCUCGGGUGCUAAAGACCAUAGUUCAAAUGCCGUUAAGUUACUACAAAAGCAAGAGAAACAUAAGAUUUUUUUUUUUUUCCCAUUGUUAGCAUUUUCUUUGUUUGAUAGAAAAACAAGAGGUCAAAACCUUUAUUUAAUUCUUAAAUUAGUUCCCUCCUCUCUUCCAUUGAACUUGAGAGAUGAUGCUUAGUUAUGCAAAUUAGGAUGGCUUGCUUGUUCGCAAGAAAUUAUUUUGUAGGUCAAAUUUUGAAGAAUUGCGAACUUGCUGGCACGCUAAAUCCCCUCCAAGCGGAAAACGAGAAGGGUCAUGAAAAGGCUGAACAAUUUGGAGAUAUUUAAUCUCAAAUUUUCUGGGAAAAGGUAAAUCACCUCUCUCAGCGUGGCAUCCAUAAUCCCUAAAAUCUAAAGGGGGCAUUACAGCUGCACCUCGCCUCUUCAAUUCCUACUCAUUUUCCAGCUGAUGAGGAGUUACCCCGCUGAUGAUGGAUUCAAGCAUCAUCCAGACAGGUUGAACCAUUCACUGUUCUAAGCUCACCAAGCAAGGAAACUUCUUGGACCUCUGUUCUACUAGAAAUCCUUUCUUUCAAUUUCUUGGAUAACAAAGCAGAGUCGUCAGAAUAUAACAAACGGACAAAUUUACAAAUCCAAAGGCCAUCACAUCACAUAAAUUGUGGCAGCUCGGUAGGCAAAUAACUAGUCAGAAUGAUGAAAAGCUAUGUCGAACACCAUUCCUCAAGAUUUCAAGGCAAAUUAGUCACCCAUCAAGAUGCAACUCUUUUUUCUCUUCUUUUUUUUUUUUUGCCUCAUUAUUUGUUCAUGUACAAGUUAGCAAACAUUUGGAAGCAAGAGAAACUAAAUCAAAAACGUAUCACUGGGCAAAUUGAGAAAAGAUGUGACCUAGGUUUACUUUUGAAUUAUGUACCGUCAAUGAACUGCAGAAGAGUUCCCGAUGGUUUCCUUCAGAAUACUUGCAUGAUGAUCCACCCGCAGAUAUAAAAUCACAACCCAAAUCUUCUAGCUUACAGCAACGCCAGACAUCACGCAACCUGUAAAAUGGACUGUGUAUGGCGUUAUCGGUUGGCAUUACUACCACAGAUCAAAAGGUGGAGUUGGACAACUGAAACCUCAAGUAGCAAAAUUGUAAGCUAUAAGUUUCUCCUCAUGCCAUCUCAAACAAAUCAAGCAUGCAUUAAAUGAUCACACAACAUAAAGCAUGUUACAUCAUCUGCAAGUUACAGUGGGAACAGCUUGUUAUAACUCAUUCAACUUCAGCUAAAUAUUUUAAAAAAAAUUACAGGAACACUCCAUCAACUUUAGUCCAACUUUAUCUACACCUUUAUACUUUAAAAAGUGUCAAACUAAUCCUUCUAGUUAUCAAUAUGUUGCAAUGUGUUCCAACCAUCUAUCUACAUUAACAGAAUUUUAUAAAAUGACAAAAAUAUCCUUAUCUUCAUCUCCUCCCUCUUCCCUCCUUUCUCUCCGAUUGAUCUCCUCCUCCAUCACCGGUGUCCUCUUUCUCCUUCCUCCUCUUCUUUCUUCUCCCCUUCCUCCUCACCCAUUUCUCCGUUUCCAUAAUGGCUUCCUCCACCUUCCUCCUCUUCUCUCCCCAUCCUCUUCUUCUUAUCCUCCUCCAACCCAUUUCUUGCAGCCGGCAACCCCUCUUCCUUCCCCUUUCUCCUUAUCCACUUCUCUUUCUCAUUUUCUUCCUCAUCAUCCUCUUCUUCCUCCAAACCCACCCAUAACCCCACCCCUCUAUGACAACCCCCUUCACAUACACCCCUUUUCACCAACCCAUCAUUCCCCCUCCUUUUUCUCCUUAUCCAUGUAUCUUCCUCCAUGGAGGCUCCCUCCACCUCUUUCCCUUCCUCCUUAUCAUCCUACUCCUCAUCCUCUUAUAAGCCGCCCAUAAACCACUCCUUUUACGGCAGCCCAUCCACCUCCGCCCCUUUUCGCCAGCAACUCAUCUUCCCUCUCCCCAUUCUCUUCUCCUCCUUAUCCUCAUUCUCUUUUUCCAACCCAUUCGGCCCUUCUUCCCUCCCUUUCCUCCUCAUCUACUUCUUCUCAUCCUUGUUCUCCUCCAAGCCCACCCAUAAGCACAUUUUCGUCUAUUAAAAGAGAAAGCUAACACUUGUUAAAAUGGACGACAGUACCACAUUAGAACAUAUCAAUAACUAGAAAGAUUAGUUUGAUAUUUUUUAAAGUACAAAGGUGUAAAUAAAAUUGGACUAAAGUUGAGGAAAUGUUCCUGUAAUUUUUCAAUAUUUUAUAUAAAGGAUGCAAGUGUUCAGAUUUUCUGAAAAUCAGAAGAUCAAUUGAAUUUUUAUUUUUUGUCCUUCUCUAAUAGGCGCUAACAAAAAAUAUACCAUGAUAUGAUAACUACGAUAUCCAAUUACAUGAUAACUACAAUCAUGGAAUGCAUAUAUCAUACAAUUAUACCACCAAUUACAUGCACAUAUAGGGACAGGAAGGACACCAAAGCAAUGAGCAAAAUGACCAUCAUGUAACAGAAAAAAGGGGGCAGUUGUUGGAUUAAGAGAGGAACAAGGACAGGAAAAAAAGAGUUCGGCUGUGGACAGCAGGAAAAACGAGCAGCAACUAAGUUGUUUUUUUAUCUCAACAGCAAAGAAGCUAUUCAGGCCGUAAUCCACAAGAAUAAUAUUGAUUUUUAUGCCUGCGGACAGGCAUGACAGGCUGAACAACUUCCUUGCCAGUCAGGGAAAAAGGAUACCAAACAGCAUCCCAGACAGACAAUAAAAGGAAGUAAUUUGAGUGUGCAUGUCAGCACUAAGCUCAAAAAAAUAAAUAAAAAUAAAUAAAUAAACAAGAACAAAAGUAGCAGUUAGAGAUGAAGAAGAAGAGAAGAUAGCAUUAUGGUGCCUUCUAGUAUCGUAUCAAAAAUGCCAUGCUUCUGUAGUAAUGCUUAUAAAUGAUGUUUUAUGUGCAUAGUGAAAUAGCUAGUAUGCAUAAUCAUAAAGGAAAACGAGUUAUAAAGGUCUAGAUACGACAUAUGAAUUUUAUAAAUUAACGGGAAUUUGCAGCAUCAGGGUACCAGACAACUGAAUCCAAAAUCAUUUAGUGUCUUUCAACUCGAUUUCUUGAGUGAACUUGAAAAUUGUUGCCUGAUAUGGCACAUGCCAUUCCAUUACCAUAAAUGCAAGAUUUAUCAAAACACCUGAGCAGUCCUAAGCAGUGGCACUCUUAAAUGCUUAUGUGGCCGUGCAGGAGCUUAGAGUUAAAAAUCUGUAAAAUUAAUGCAAAUAGCAUAAAUAGCCUUGCAUGGGCCAAUUACGACACAUGCACACAUGCAUACGGUUCAUAGAAAACAUUCAGAAAACAUCAUAUUCAUAAACAAUAAGGUCAUUAACCACCUGAGCAAUGCAAUAGCAUAAUAUCUGACUAAACUACUUAAGUUUUACUUAUUAUCCUUUUUACUGAAUGAUCUAAAAUAUCUAAAGCUUCCAAGCAACAUAACAUGAUCUAGUGUCAAUUAAUAUCUUCAAGAAUACAUUCCAAAAAUCAAAUAAAACUAAGAAAAAUUCAAUCACAUAAAAAAAGAACACAUGGUCAAAAUGAUGGUCUAUGUGAUAGAAUAUACAAAGCCAUUCACUCCAAGAUCCAUUAAAUGCACCCCAGGUUACUAAAGAGGAAACAGACUUCAUAAUAAACAUGCCAAGAGAUUCAGAAAUUUAGAGUGAUAAAUUUUGAUCCAGACCCACAUUGGGAACAAAAGCAAUAAUAGGUCGCCAGGUGCAUAUCUCGGUGCCACCCUUUGCAUAUGGACAGGCACCCACCCUGAAGGCUUGGAAAAAGCCAGAUGCCUGGGAGAUGCUGCUGCCAAAGUGCUUAAGCACCUCGGUAGCUGCCUGUGACAAUCUUGGAUAUAUAGGAACAAAAUCCAUACAUCAGGUUACCGUAAGUGCAAGUUAUGCAACUGUCACAUCCUUAAAUGUUUGGAAUAUCCAAAUCAAAGACAAUAUUUGUUACACAUAUUGCACAUGCCAUCUGAGAAGUUGACUCAAGAUGCAGUAUCUCUUUUGGCAGAAGUAUGUCCUGACCCUACUUCAUACAAACAAAUUGGCGAGGUCUAUGUAGUCCUAAAAAAAUAAGAUCAGCCUCCCCUCAAAAAUUUUAGAACCACCAACUACCAUCAUUCAACAAGAUAGCCUAUUUGACAAAAAUGUCCUUCACUGGCCCAUUAUUUACUCCGAGGUAGCAAUCUACUUCUCUAAAUGUUUACUCUUCAUUUACCUUCUUUAGCUGACCUUAGCCAAGCAAAAUGGAUCUCUCAGUAUGUAUUCAUUUGCCAGCACAAAUGUCUACAACUCCAGAUUAACUAUGUACUUCAUUCUAUAAGAAUGUAUUAGCUUCAAGUUUUGCCCGAUGACAGCUAGGCAAGGAGUGGAUAUUGAUCCAUCGUUUAUUUUUGAUCUAAGUGUUUAUUUCUCCAACCCAACUGUUUACUCCCCUGACUUAGUGCUGGUUAUGCAUAUGCAAUUCCUUAUUCUACUGUAUAUAAGAAUGCAUAUUAGGCGGAUUGUGCCUAGCCAAGGUGGUCACUGGAUCAGCCCAUGUUACUAUGUACUUGGCCCAAGCUUAGCCUGGCCUAUGUUCAAUCCAACAUUACGACCCAAGUUCAGCACAAUGAGAAUAAGUGAGCUCAGGCUGAAAUUGGGCUAAGUUAACUCUGCAACUUCCUUUCUUGGGUAACAAACAAAUGUAUAAUGAAUCCUCUCAUCCACCUACUCAAUCAUGACUAUAUACCAAAAUUGUUUUCAAUGGUUUAUGCAUAUCAUGUCACUGGAGGGAUAAUUCCUCAAACAAUGACUAGAUAUUGUUUUAUUAUGUAGGCAAGAUUUAGCAUUGUAUUUGUCCUAUGGUUGUGAUAUGUUACUAUCAGGCUAUCAGGUUUACAACCCAUUGGUCCAAGCUCAGUCCAAUUCAAACUUGGGUCCGAAAUUUGUAACCUAGCUUCAGCCAAACCUAGUUAAAAUGUGGGCUAGAUUGAGCGGGCCAUGGUCUGGUCCAACAUCAUGUGCACAUUUGUGUAUGUUUUUUUGGUUGGUCUAAACCAAGUAGAAAGCAAGGUUUUGCGUCCCGACAAGACAUGGGGCGUCCCGGUCAUUCCAUCCCGUUCUUGUGAAAAAACAGGAUUAGGAUGGCUCGGGACUCCGAAACCCAUCCACGCAGGGAAAGAAGAAGAAAGAGGAAAGAAUGAAAGGAAGGAAAGAUAAAGAAAAGAAAAAAUGAAAGGAAAGAAGACGAAAAAUGAAAAAAUAGAAAGGAAGCGAAAAGAAAAAGAAAGGAAAAGAAAAGGAAAAUGUCCAUAGGGAUAUAUGACCGAGACUACUGUCGGGACGGGAUGGGAGAGCAGAACAUCCAGUUCUAUGGAGAAACCGAGACACCUUUGUCUCACAUAAUUUAAAACCUUGGUAGAAAGUACGUACCUCUCAAUUUGUGUUUAUUUUUGAGCACAAGGACAUACAUCUCUAGAUUAGGUGUUUAUUCUGUGACAAUUGUUUAUUGUUUUUGAGCAAAUAUUUGCUAACCAACACGAGUGCUAUUCUACGAGAGCUAUGAGUGGAAAUAAGCAAAUGCAUGAAAUCUAAACCCCACUCUGAUAAUGGUUGCCAAAACUAGGUGAUAUUAAAAAAACGGAGUCAAGAGGUGGGCCUAAGUAUAAAUUUUGGUUUUGAGGAACCUAGCAUAUUUUGUAGUAAAACCCAAGACCAAGACCCACGAUUACCUUCCUUUUUGGCAAGCGAAUUAUGCAUGUCUUUUCACCUUUUCCUUUCUUCUUUUCUUAUUCUUCUACUUUUUUCUCUUUCCUUGUCCUUCCCUCUUUCUUCCUCUCCUCUGCCAUCUUUUCCACCUUUUAUUUUUUGUACCUUACUACCAUCCCCUUAGCCAUAGUACUACUGGUUUGGGAUAUCCAUAGCCCUAGCCCCACUCUCUACAUAAAUAGUGAUGCACAUAGGACCAAGCCAAGCCAUAGACCAGUUGACCUAGCCAUAUUUCAUGGGUGACCAAUAUCUUCAUUAAUUGGGCUGAACUUGGGCCCUAAAAUUUUGGCCCUACUUUGCAUUGGCAGAGCUUGGGGCCUUGGGCCAACCGAUUGCAAAUCCCAUAACCCAACCCAACUUGGCCUAAUAUUUAUAACAUAUGACACCUAUAAUAUAAAUACAAUACUAAACCUUGUCAAUAUAAUAUAAGCAACAGUUAAUACCAUUUUGCAGAUUAUCCCUCCAAUCACAUGAUACACACAAAUUAUUAAAAAAAAAAAUUCCUAUUAGAGAAUCAUGAUUGAAGAGGUGUUCAAGAGAUUCUUUAUAAUCUUUGGUUUGUUACCAGACAAGCAAGUCUCGACUAUAAUUUGGGCAACCUGAUUUAUAUCAAGCUCAUUUGUUGCUCAUGUGACCGAGUUUGGUUACACAUGUUGGGCUGAUUAUACUAGACUGAGCUUGAGCCAAAUAUCCAGUAACAUGGGUCACGCCUAAGACCAGACCACAACCCCCCUCCCCGNNNNNNNNNNNNNNNNNNNNUGGGUCGACGCCAACGAACCACGACCACCAACCCCCCACCCCCGCCCGCCCCCCCCCCCCACAAAGGCACCCGACCAGCCUGUCGUGCAUCCUUAUUUAUAGUGGAGAUGGGUCCAACACUGGCAAUUAGCUGUUUAUCCUAACUUAGAAUUAGUAAUAAAACCAAAAUCUAAAAGCAGGACCAAAUAGAUUCAAAUGGAUGUGAUGAGAUAAUCUCAGCAGUCAAACCAAAAUCAAAAAAGUAGAUGGCAAACCCCUACAACAUAAAAUAAUUGCAAAAGGACAGCAAAAUACACAUAUAAUACCUCUCCAAGUUUUAAAAACACAGUAAUUAUGGCCCAUAAAUAGGCCCAUCAAUGCUACAUCAGCCUACUUUCAAUCUAAACAUGCAAUCCAUAGUUAGGAAUGAAUCGACACUUCAAACUUAUGCCCAGCCAUCCCUAUGAAGCUACUCCAAAUCCAUUGUAUACUCACCACCUACAUCUAGGUCUUCUGAAGUGAAAUAGUUCUUAAUCAACUUAUGUAAUAAAGACCUAAUAUUCCACCUCAACAAGAUUUUCACUUUUUGCUGCAGACAGCCAAACUCUCUUGAACUAGUUAACCACUGACCUCUCUUAUCAAGCCAAGCUCCCGAAAUAUAUCGAUUUCAGAACUUGCACAAGUUGCAUCAUACAUCCAGUUUAAAGUCGUCAAAUUCUGGGACUUUAUAAACUCGUGCAUACUCCUCACUGCCUUCUAUUCAGAUCAAUAAGGCCUAAACUAGAAAGCACAGAUACUUCAAAUCACAUGCCAUGUCCACAUCAUCUAUCCCUAUAAUGAAUAUUUCUUGGAUACGUGUUUGAUACUUGUGUUUAAGUAUCCUAUUUUUCAGAAUUAAAAAAGAUAUGGAUUAUGGUCUAUGGAAUAAUGAGUAAAGAUUAGCUUGUAAAAGUCAAUGCUAUGUAUGUAUCCAUAGACUCAUACACACACAUACAUUAUGUGUGUAUAUUCCUUGAUGUAUCCUAGUCAUAUCACAUCCUAAUUUUUCAAGAUUUGUUGUAUCCAUAUAUUAUGUGUAUUCCCUGAUG